CGGAGCGCGAGCGGGCCAGCGCCAAGUUCGGGGUUUGGGGUUGGAGCGGUCGGUCACGUGGCUGGCCCGCGGCGGUGCGCUGGGCGUUGGGUCAGCGGGUCUGGGACUCUGGUGGCACCGGCGGCGGCGUAGGACCGAGGCGUCGCUAGGCAGCUUCGAACCAGUGCAAUGACGAUGCCAGUCAACGGGGCCCACAAGGAUGCUGACCUGUGGUCCUCACAUGACAAGAUGCUGGCACAACCCCUCAAAGACAGUGAUGUUGAGGUUUACAACAUCAUUAAGAAGGAGAGUAACCGGCAGAGGGUUGGAUUGGAGCUGAUUGCCUCGGAGAAUUUCGCCAGCCGAGCAGUUUUGGAGGCCCUAGGCUCUUGCUUAAAUAACAAAUACUCUGAGGGGUACCCGGGCCAGAGGUAUGUGAAUCUCUUCAAAGGCCUGGUUCUGACACAGUCAUAGGGAGUACUCAAUCACCCUAGGACCUAAACAAUUUGGAAAUUUCAGAAAACAACAAGCUUCCCAACUGUAGGAUUUCUGUUCCACGCCUGCUCUCUGACAGAACUCUUUUAUUCCUAGCA
rnacentral:sRNA from 1 species